rnacentral:rRNA from 1 species
UACAGAGGGUGCAAGCGUUGUUCGGAAUCAUUGGGCGUAAAGGGCGCGUAGGCGGUUUGGAAAGUCGAAUGUGAAAGCCCAGGGCUCAACCUUGGAAGUGCAUCCGAAACUACCUAACUAGAAUCUCGGAGAGGGUGGUGGAAUUCCCAGUGUAGAGGUGAAAUUCGUAGAUAUUGGGAGGAACACCGGUGGCGAAGGCGACCACCUGGACGAAGAUUGACGCUGAGGCGCGAAAGCGUGGGUAGCAAACAGG